AUUACGCAAGCUUUUCCGAAAUUAACACGAAUUUAAUUAUUUUUAAUCCUUGCUCGACGAUUCGAUUAUAUUUAUCUAAACUGGAAUUACGUUUUCGAAUGCUGCUUGUGUUUCCUAUUCACGUGGUGGAACAAUGAAGCUCGUCAGGAGCAAGAGCCAUCACCGAUGACUUUGUUGCGCGCUUAUAAAGCGAGAAUGUUAAAAGAGAAAAAAUCUCUAGUAGCUUAGUACCUCCCACGCUUUCCCGCCGUUGACAACCGCGGUGGGGUGUUCUUAUACUCGGAUGGCUCUUCCUUCGCUAUGACGACUGACGGCAUGCCAGUCUGUCAAGUUCGGUCUACGCGAAGCCUUCAUUCUUCUUCUGCGAAUCAUUGAAUUCUCUCGGACCCGUUGAUAUCGCACGAGGAGUCAUAGUUCCUGAAAAACACCACCAUCGUGUCAUUUACCCUUGAGACGACAGGACACGUUUGGAAAAAUCGAAAGGAAGCUUUCGAAUUUAUAUUUCUGUGCGAGAGAAAGCACGCGCACGUGUACGCGGCAAAUGAAUCGCUCGUAAACGAUCGACAAGUGAAAUGGGACUACCGACGACGAGACUCCUACCAAUUCUUUUGCUUCUGCUGGCCGUGGCACAAUCAAAUUUCGCGCAGGGCACAGAAUUCAUCCUUAUCGAUCAGAAAAUCCAGGCUGCUCUGAGACCGAAUUCAUAUGCAGAAACAGACAGUGCGUCGACCGUAAGAGAUAC